GAGGAUACAGCUCAGUGGUAGAGCAUAUGCUUAGCAGGCAUGAGGUCCUGGGUUCAACCCCCAGUACCUCU
rnacentral:tRNA from 1 species